rfam:Myotis lucifugus cont2.16995, whole genome shotgun sequence.
GGCAGUUCUCGGGUGAUGCACCCCGGAAUUGGGCUCCCUCCUCUCUGGUUCUGGGUGUGUCACUCAAGAACUGCA